rnacentral:lncRNA from 1 species
AAAAAAGAAGUGCAAAUGGACUGCAUAAUAUUAUGGCCCAAUAUUUGAAACCCUCAUUUGUAAAAGUAACUCAGGUUGGAGGAAACAAACCAAACAGAACCAACCAAGAAGGAUGAGCGGCGCAUCCAGGAGAAAGAAAAUGGCGGCCAAGACAAGCAAGGUUCGAGUCCUAUCUUUUCUAACUUUCUAAUGCUUCUCAAUCAAAUCUAUAACAAUAAUAAAUUUCAUUAUUAGGAAAUGUAAAUGAAAAAUAACGAAAAUACCUUAACCCUUCUUCAAAUUGUUCCUCUGUUUGUUUGGAUAACAGUGAUAAAAAAAAUUUCUGUUUUAGUGUUUAAAAUCGAACUCUCUUAACAAAAAAAGAAGCUCUUCUCUUUAUUUCAAAAUUUAGAAACUCUCCCCUCUAUUUCAGAAUUUAGAACCUGUUUUGUGUUUAUUUUUUUCGUCCUUCUUUUCUUGAUUUUUUCAUCAAUUUAUAGGUAAACCAGUGAAUGUUUUUGUUUAUUAGAUAAAACGAGUUCUGGAUCUUGUAUUGUUACUCAAAAAAUUCAUUGGAUUUUACAUUGUUUUUGUAAUAAAAUUUAAGCAAGGUACCAUUAAGGGAAAGAAAAUAAGCCUGUUAACUUUACAUUGAGUGUAUUGCAUUUCUGUAUUAAGCUAAAGAAACCGGUUUAUAACAUGUUUGCAACAGGGAUCUUCACAAGGUAUAGAAGAUAAAUGAUGGGUCUUUGCAAGUUGCAAGUUGUUUCUGAGCCAUUGUAAAUGAUGGGUCUUUGCAAGUUGCAAGUUGUUUCUGAGCCAUUGUUUUUUUGAGUGAUGCUGGAUUGAAAGGAAACGUGUGAACGGAAGUAGAGGAAACGUGUGAACGGAAGUAGAGCAAACGUGUGAACGGAAGUAAAGGAAACGUGUGAAGUGGCCUGGUUGCAGAUCAAAAGAAAAAAUAUUUUAUUUCUUUUUCCUUUUUAUUUUAUUUUUAAUAUAUAGUUAAAUCUGAAUAUAAAAN